UACGUAGGGGGCUAGCGUUGUCCGGAAUCAUUGGGCGUAAAGAGCGUGUAGGCGGCCCGGUAAGUCCGCUGUGAAAGUCGGGGGCUCAACCCUCGGAUGCCGGUGGAUACUGUCGGGCUCGAGUACGGAAGAGGCGAGUGGAAUUCCUGGUGUAGCGGUGAAAUGCGCAGAUAUCAGGAGGAACACCUAUGGCGAAGGCAGCUCGCUGGGACGUUACUGACGCUGAGACGCGAAAGCGUGGGGAGCAAACAGG
rnacentral:rRNA from 1 species